CGGGACUGGCGGGGCUCGAACCCGCAGCU
rnacentral:tRNA from 19 species